UUUAGCACAACAGAAGGUUCGGUUGGCAGGAGUCUGAAGACUGGACGAGAUGGUGUCGCUUGAGCUCUAUGGAGAUUUAAUAAGAGACAUUACUGCUCAGAACCUCUCGCACGCGGACAUUUCCACGAAGUUAUCACAAUUAGGUGUGCAGCGAUGUUCUGAAAUGAGUGUCAGGAGAUUUUGUGCACAUCACAACAUUUCCAGGAGGGGACAUGUAUCCGACACACAAUUAGAAGUUGCUAUCAGCAGGGCAAUAAAUCAGACAGGGUCAACAUAUGAUGACCAGGUAUCUGUCUGCGAUGGGAGUGGUUGCUGGUGAACGCCGGAUAGGGAGGAUUUUGAGAACAACGCAUUGUCCUUAUCACGAAAUGCGCAAUCGUGGUGCACGUAACCUUAACCCCGUCCCCUACAGUGCUGCAUACAUGGGACAUAAAAUCCACAUCGACCAGAAUGAAAAAUUGGUCAUGUUCAGAGUGACGCACGUUUUCGCAGUAGAUGCGUACAGCAGUAAGGUCAUUGCCCAUGCAACCAUGCCUGUCAAGAAUAAACUCACGAUAUAUGAGGAAGUUUACAGUCUGUAGCUGCUGAAUUCAUGGAUGAAUCAUCUGGCACUAGAGAAGAAGACCAUCAAACAUCCAUGUCAGCUGAUGGAGGUCCAAGAGUCUCACCAAACAACCAACCUACAGAGUGAAGACCUCAAAUCUGAUUGGACGGCCUCCUAUUCAGCCACAUGUGAACAAAUGCCUCUAAGUUGGUUUGUUUUCUAAAAUAACAUGACAUGUUCAGGCGUUCUUUGUGUGAAAACUCAGAGAUUUCAGGUAUCAGAAGGUGGUUUUCAACUUUCUUUGUUAACUUUCUGCUUCAACUUUAAACUAAAUUUCCUUCACUAGCCCAGCCCUCUGGACUUCCAGUAAGCUGUGUUCCUAUUGGCUGUCCAGGUGGCUGCUUGGUGUUAUCAGGAACACCUGAGCAGCUCAGUGUCUUCCUGCUUUAUUUAGCUGCAGACAAACAUUUCCUCUGCUUGUCUUCACCACUGAACCGGGUUUGGCUCCAUUGCUUUAGUUUGUUCUUUAGGCAUUGGCUUGCAGCUUCCAGCAGUAAAAUCAUUUUUAAUGUGUUUCUUGGUGUGUUUUAGGCAUUGUACUGGAUAGUUGUCUUGGUAAAUGUGGUUCUUUAGCCACAGUUAGCACAUGGUGCUAAUGUGUGCAAUGAUUAGUGGAUUUGGUGCAGCUGAGUUGUGUCUUUAUCUUGGCUGUAGUGAGUCUUUAGAGGUUUUUGGUCAGACACAUUCUGUAUUCUUGUUUGUGAACCAGCGUUGGUUGUCCAGAAGGUAAGAGUUCCUGUCCUGAUUCUCUGUUCUCAGAGGUUCUCUGGUAGGCUGCAGGAGACUUUAGCGUUUGGGUUGUGCUAGUUUGGUUUUUGUACGGUUUCAUUUGGACGACUAUCUUGAGGCCCCUCCAUGUGGUUUAGUGAGGUUUUCUGGAACAGUUCUACAAAGCAACCUGCAGCAGAAGAGACUUUGAGAGUUUUUAGGAAGUUCUGGAGACCAGACUUUAGAGCAGCAGAGACAUUUGUCAGCAGUUUGAGCAGGAGAAGGUGAGCUUCAGAGUAGAAAUUAGAUGGAAACCUUCUUGACCCGUGUGGUGAGGUCCUGUACCAAGAGUUUGAGCAGGUUGUGAAGAGUCUGUAGUUCUUUGGUCUGAAAGCACAAGAAGAGUCGACUCAUUAAAGGAGAAAACAGGAGAUAUUGUUGGUUCUUCUGUCGCUCUGCAGUUUCCUUAGACUAAAUAUCAAGUUUAUAUUUUAAAUGAUUUCCCAUAUGAGCCCAAGAAGACUUCAAUAAACUCCCUCCAUCCCCUGGACACAACAUAUUUUAUUACCAUGUUAAAUCUUUUUUGAAAUGUUUUUGCAUUUUAAACCUGGUUUUAGUACAGUUUUUUUCUCUUUGCUUGUUUAGUUGUGUCAUCUGUGUAAAAGGUGCUAAACAAAUAAAGUUGAAUUGAUAAACU